rnacentral:rRNA from 1 species
CCUCAUGAAGUCGGAGUUGCUAGUAAUCCCGAAUCAGAAUGUCGGGGUGAAUGCGUUCCCCGGGGUCUUGUACACACCGCCCGUCACGCCAUGGGAGUCGGGGGUACCCGAAGUCGGUGGGCUAACCGCAAGGAGGCAGCCGCCUAAGGUAAAACCGAUGACUGGGGUGAAGUCGUAACAAGGUAGC